UCAUAACCAACUCUAUGUCCACCCAUCUCCGCCCGUCUGGGGGAGAGUGCCAGAGCGCUACCUGGGCUAAUUGCGCCGCUAAAUAGUAGUGGUACAGAUCCGGGAGGCAGAGUCCUCCUCUCGUCCGUGGCCUAUACAGAACAUAUCUUGAUAUUCGGUGUCUCUUAUGUUACCAUACAAAGUUCCCAAUUGCCCGCUGGAGCGGAGCCAGCUGUGCCGUCGUCAAGGGGAUCGGAAGCACCUGGAAAAGGAACAAAGCCCUGGGCAGGACGUUCAUUUUGAC